rnacentral:rRNA from 1 species
UAGGGAAUCUUCCGCAAUGGACGCAAGUCUGACGGAGCAACGCCGCGUGAGUGAAGAAGGAUUUCGGUUCGUAAAACUCUGUUGUUAGAGAAGAACAGCGCAUAGAGUAACUGUUAUGCGUGUGACGGUAUCUAACCAGAAAGCCACGGCUAACUACGUGCCAGCAGCCGCGGUAAUACGUAGGUGGCAAGCGUUGUCCGGAUUUAUUGGGCGUAAAGCGAGCGCAGGCGGUCAAUUAAGUCUGAUGUGAAAGCCCCCGGCUCAACCGGGGGAGGUCAUUGGAGACUGGUUGACUUGAGUGCAGAAGAGGGGGGUGGAAUUCCAUGGGUGGCGGUGAAAUGCGUAGCUAUAUGGAGGAACACCAGUGGCGAAGGCUACUCUCUGGUCAGUAACUGACGCUGAGGUUCGAAAGCGUGGGUAGCAAACAGG